rnacentral:lncRNA from 1 species
AAGCAGUUUCUCUUAUUAUGUUUGAUGUGUUUGGUGUGUCUCACCCAAGGGUCUUAGCAGCUAUGGGCACUGUGAGUGCUGAGAACCAGAGAGGCUGAGGAAGCACCUGGGCAGGUGCCUCUUGUCCUGUGAAAUGAAAACUGCUGGUGACAGGUGUAGCUGUGGGUGUACUGUUCGCAAAGAUUCUGAAUAAGAACCCCAGGACCUUCUCUGAAACAGCCUGACCCUCAGUCAUUGCCAAGUGUCACCAACAGAGACUCUGGCCCAGGCUUCUGCCAUCACUGGGCAAACUGGAGAUGGGUGAGUGGAGAAUCAGCUCUAGAAUGUCUGUUCUGCUCUGGUCAACCGAAUCCUAAAGGCAAACAGAGGCCUGGCUCUUGCUGAAGCAGACUUGGCUGUAGCCCAGAGCCAAGAUCCGGGGCCAGGAGUGCCUGGAAAUGUGCUUGGGCAGGUGGUGGC